rnacentral:piRNA from 1 species
UCAUACCAAAUUGUGUUGAUUUCUAAAUAC